rnacentral:rRNA from 1 species
CUAGCCUGGUAAAAAAGUUCUCUGGAAAGGGACGACAAAGAGGGUGAAAUCCCCGUUUUUGGCCGGAGCAUAGUCUUACGUUUGCUUGGAAACGAAGAGUCAGGUUGUUUGGUAUUGCAGCCUAAAGUUGGAGGUAAAUCUCUCCUAAAGCUAAAUAUUGACGAAAGACCGAUAGCGAACAAGUACCGUGAGGGAAAGAUGAAAAGCACCUUGAAAAGGGGGUCAAAAAGUACGUGAAAUUGCUGAAAGGGAACCGUAUAGAAUCAGCUUGUCUCUUUGAUAAUCAGCCUGGACUUUGGUCUGGGUGCACUUGUCAGUGAGUACGGCCUGUGACAAUUUGACUUGAGGGAAAAAAUCAAUGGGAAUGUGGCCUUGACUUCGGUGGAGGUGUUAUAGCCCUUUGAAAAAUACCUUGGGUUGGAUUGAGGACUGCAGUGAGCCCCCUUCUGGGGGGGAUGAACUGUGGGCGCUUGGUCAUCAUUAAAAAAGAAUCUCUGCUUCGGGUGGUGCUUUUUUAAUGGAGGUCAACUCGCCUACUUUUUCUUUUUCUCACUUAGGUUGCAGGCAUAAUGAUUUUAUAUGACCCGUCUUGAAACACGGACCAAGGAGUCCACCAUAGUUGCGAGUCUUUGAGUGUAAAAACCCAUAGGCGUAAGGAAACUGACCAAGAUAUGAAGGCGCAAGCUGGCAAUAUCCUCCAGCGAGGACGUUUUAUACUGAAUUGACUGAGAGAAAGCAAUUAUGAUGGGACCCGAAAGAUGGUGAACUAUACUUGAAUAGGGUGAAGCCAGAGGAAACUCUGGUGGAGGCUCGUAGCGAUUCUGACGUGCAAAUCGAUCGUCAAAUUUGAGUAUAGGGGCGAAAGACUAAUCGAACCA